rnacentral:misc_RNA from 1 species
GGGACUACAGGGGUAUCUAAUCCCGUUUGCUCCCCUAGCUUUCGUGCAUCAGCGUCAGUAAAGACCCAGUAAGCCGCUUUCGCCACCGGUGUUCCUGAUGAUAUCAACGCAUUUCACCGCUCCACCAUCAGUUCCGCUUACCUCUGUCUCACUCCAGCCAUGUGGUUUCCAACGCAGUUCCACGGUUGAGCCGUGGCAUUUCACAUCAGACCUUCAUAGCCGCCUACGCACCCUUUAAGCCCAGUAAUUCCGAACAACGUUUGCACCACUCGUAUUACCGCGGCUGCUGGCAC